ACAGCUGUGGCAUUCAGUACUGGGUGGUGGUCUUCCACAUGGAGGGUGAACUGGCACAUGGAAUAAGGUGAUCAUUUGGCAGUGAGAUGCUGUGGAGUAAUGAGAAGGCAAGUUUGCUUGCUGGCUUAGGAUCACAGCUUGAAGGCAGAUGUUAUCCACAGUUGGAACCUGGCUGAUGUCAGGUGAUGGACCUGGUGGAAGCUGGCUGAUGCUGGUGAGCGGAAGCCAGUGGAGUUUGCAUUUGGAUGCUGAAAGGCUGAAAGCAUUCCGAGUCGGUACAGCAUGGGACUCUUUUAAUCUCAGGGUCGUGAUGGAGGUAAGCUGGUUGAAAUUCACCUUUGUAUACAGGUAAGCCCACUCUACAGAAGCUGCAUGCAUAUUUGUGGAUUGAAGCUGGUGUGUUGCAUGUGUGUGAGUGGAGACUGGCUGAUAAGUGGGUGUGUCUGAAUGGGAGGUGUGACGUUUGCCCUCCUAGGUGUGUGACAUCAUACUGGGUUCAUAAGGAAAGGGUUAACUAAUUGUAAAAUGACUAACCAAUGGGAACCCAAGGGGCAGAGUUAACUGUGUAUAAGGUUUAAGCACAGAGGGUUUUUGGAGGAGUUGGAGUUAGAGUUAGAGUUAGGGUGGUUGGGAAGACAGUCUGGAGUUAGAAGAGACAGAGAAGAUAAGUCUGUGGGUUGGGCUAGUCUGGUGUGAGAGAGUGAGAGAAUUUGUUAAGAGGAGUCAGUCAAACAGUUGAGAUAAUCAGUCAGAAGGUAUUAGGAAGGUAAAGGUAAAGGGACCCCUGACCAUUAGGUCCAGUCAUGGCUGACUCUGGGGUUGCGGCGCUCAUCUCGCUUUAUUGGCUGAGGGAACCGGCGUACAGCUUCCGGGUCAUGUGGCCAGCAUGACUAAGCCGCUUCUGGUGAACCAGAGCAGCACAUGGAAACGCCGUUUACCAUCCCGCCGGAGCGGUACCUAUUUAUCUACUUGCACUUCGUGCUUUCGAACUGCUAGGUUGGCAGGAGCAGGGACCGAGCAACGGGAGCUCACCCCGUCACGGAAAUUCGAACUGCCGACCUUCUUAUUGGCAAUCCCUAAGCUCAGUGGUUUAAUCCACAGCGCCACCCGUGUCCCUUAUGCCACCCGCGUCCCUCGCGCCACCCUCGUCCCUUAUUAGGAAGGUAUAGGCCAGUAAAGAAACUAAAGUUAAGAUACUGACAGGAAUAUUAUCAGAGAAACCAUAAACUUGUUAAUGUUUGUAAAAUAAACUUUUUUUUUGGUUCACUUUUAACAACUGUCUGGACUCAGCGUUUUACCAGAGAGUAACAGGUUGGUGGCAGCGGGGAAGCAAGCACAGUGGUGGCACAGGGAUCAAUAGACCGUUAAAUGUCUGGGGACCCUGUGUGAUCGCCACAGGAGGUUUCAAAUGUGGUUGAUGCAAAUGUUGUGUCUGGAUGCACAGAUCACCCUCCAGACACAGUGUGCCUGGGAAUUAUGCUUUAAGGUUGUGGUGGAAGUCGCCCUCCAGUCAUGGGGAAUGGAUGAACUCGUGAAUUCAUGGGUGGAAGCUGAUGUCAGGGAUCAAGUUGCCAUACAGAAGCCAGUGGAGGUGCCUGUGUGAUGAUGUCGGAUGGUAGCCAUCCCCGUUAGCAUUCCUGGGUUUGCCUUUCAGGGAUGUCUGAAGCUGGUGAGAUCUUUCCCAAGACCACUUGUGAAGGUAAUGAAGAUAAUUUCAGGGCUUAAGCAAGCUUCUUUUUAUUUCUAAAUAAAUGCCUUUCUAAAUAAAUCUAAGCAGUGUUUGGCUGUGCCUUCCACCCAUCCUAGGAUAGAUAAUGGAAGCUGUGUCGAUGAUUCCCCAGCUGCUGCCAUUGGCUAUGGACUCCUUGUGAUGUCAUAAACAGACAUGGUGGCUGAGGGGAAUGAGGCAGUUACUGGUGGGGGGGGGAGGGAGGGAGCAACUGAAGGAGGGACUUCAGGGGAAGUUGGGGCAGGCAGCACCAGUUGGAGACACAGAAGCUAGGUUCACUCUAUCUUCUCGAGUUGCCAACAUUUUGAUCUCUCAGGGCUCCUGUGCGUGUCUCACCUCCAUAGAAUCAUAGAAUUGUAGAGUUAGAAGGGACCCUGAGGAUUAUCUAGUCCAACCUCCUGCAAUGCAGGAAUCUCAGCUGAAGCAUCCAUGACAGAUGGCCAACCAACCUCUGCUUAAAAACCUCCAAGGAAGGAGAGUCCACCACCUCUUGUGGGAGUUUGUUCCACUGUUGAACAACUCUUACUGCCAUAAAGUUACUGCUGGUGUUUAUUCGGACUCUCCUUUCUUGUAACUUGAAGCCAUUGGUUCUUUUGAUUAUAGCAGCACUCUGGGCCUGUUAAAGAAAACAGGAACAAGAACACAAAAAGUCACAACUAAGUCCCUUUGGAAUAUAUGGGACUUAACGUCACACACGGCUGUGCCUGCAGUCCUAACCAUAUCUACUCAGAUGUAAAUCAUAUUGAAUUCAAUGGGGCUUACUCCCAGGAAAGUGGGGUUUCCCCCUUACCUGGGAGCAAGACAUGUUAAACUCAAUGGGACUUACUUUUGAGUAGAUGUGUAUAUUAUUGCAUUGCUACUUCCUAGUAAGUAUGCCUGAGAUUUCAGGCUUCUGUUAUGUACACUUACUUGGGAGUAUGUCCCAAGGCACUCACUUCUGAGUGAGCAUGCAAAGGAUCAGGCUGCUCAUUUCUGCUCCACUAUUUUCAAUGGAUCUUAAUUUAUGGCUGACUUCUGCACGAUUGUGUGCUUUAUGUGUAGCACUGUAAAGAUGACUCUCCCUCUUUCUUUCAUGUUCUAUAUUGUUUUCCAAAUAGGGAAAAAAACAUUUUUCCAACAUGACCAAGAGUUAUGUUGUCUAGCUUUUCUGGAGCCAAGGCAUCAUCAGUUUUUGUAAAAAAAAUGUUUUAAUUAAUCCUUAUGAGACAGAUGGGCAGAAAGGUGCAGAAGUAAACAGGUGGCGUUUGGGGGCAUGGGGAACUAGCACUCAGCUUGCCCAGAGGACCGUGGUGUGUGUGACAUUUGGAAAUGCAUGUGAGAGGAAGAAGAGAAAUUAAAAUGAAAUGUGAAGCCUAUGAAGAAACAGAAAAUAGAAAUGAACAUGGGCUUCAUUUCUGAAGUGAGAAUUUCUAUUUUCAAAUUUUUUGUAGAUAGUCUCUCCCCCCCCCCCCAAAGGAGGUAAAGUGAUCGGCACCAUCCCAGCACUACGGUUUUGUUCCAUCUCUUGUUCAGCUUCCUAAGAUGACUUGUUUUGCAUCAUGUUAGCUCCACCUCUCUACUACAACCAACCCAACUACUGCAAGCAAAGUAAUGCUAGGGAAACAAUCCCACACACCCAACACCACUUUACCUGCUUUCCAUGCAGGCCAGCAUGACACCCUGUUUUGUGGAGUUGCACCACAGUAGCAGGAUGUCAGGGACCAUGUUGAGGAGGGCUGCACAGAUGAGGAAUGGUGGGAGCCUCCCCCUCCCUCUGCUCCUGAUCAGGAUCCUGAAUCUUCCCAGGAGCAGUGGAACAGUAUAGAUUUGGAACAGUGGUUCGCUGAGGGACAUAGUUCAGAAGACAAAAGUUGGGAAGAACUGGGUGGUGAACAGCUAGGAGGAGAAGAACCAGGAGAGAGUUAACAGACUCUGGUUUGCUGGAAAGUGUCCAGCCAAUCAGUCCAAGGUCACAGAGAUUAGAUAAAGUCAGGGAGAUUAGAUAAGGUAGCUGCACAGAAGGCACAGUGGUUGCAAGACCAGGUUGCAAGACGAGGAAGUGACUUGGGUGACUCGGGGGGGGGGAGUGCCACUGUAUUCUGCUCUGGUCAGACCUCACCUGGAGUACUGUGUCCAGUUCUGGGCACCACAGUUCAAGAAGGACACUGACAAACUGGAACGUGUCCAGAGGAGGGCAACCCAAAUGGUCAAAGGCCUGGAAAUGAGGAACGGCUAAGGGAGCUGGGCAUGUUUAGCCUGGAGAAGAGGAGGUUAAGGGGUGAUAUGAUAGCCAUGUUCAAAUAUAUAAAAGGAUGUCACAUAGAGGAGGGAGAAAGGUUGUUUUCUGCUGCUCCAGAGAAGCGGACACAGAGCAAUGGAUCCAAACUACAAGAAAGAAGAUUCCACCUACACAUUAGGAAGAACUUCCUGACAGUAAGAGCUGGAAUUUGCUGCCAAGGAGUGGAAUUUGCUGCCAAGGAGUGUGGUGGAGUCUCCUUCUUUGGAGGUCUUUAAGCAGAGGCUUGACAACCAGAUGUCAGGAGUGCUCUGAUGGUGUUUCCUGCUUGGCAGGGGGUUGGACUCGAUGGCCCUUGUGGUCUCUUCCAACUCUAUGAUUCUAUGAGUGGGUGGAAACCUUAACUGGGAGCACCUUUACUCUGAGAAUGGACUCUUUUGUUCUUUCUCUGUGAUCAUUAAAAUCUCUUUAAAUGGUAAGAGACUAUUUUUUGCUUUGUUCUGCUUAGCCACAGCCAAAGGGAUGGAGGGGCGAAGAAUUUGAAGAAACAAGAUCUACCAACUAUCGAAGAAUGGCAGAUGAAGAUGAUGGACUAUAUGGAACUUGCCGAACUGACUGGGAGACUCCUAGACCAGAGAGAAAAGUUGGUGGAAGAAGACUGGAAGAAGUUUAAGGAAUAUUUGAAAAAAUAUGUUAAUAUUUAAAUCUUAGAAUAGCUUUGGAAGUGGAUAUAGGCUGUAGGGUUAGAAGUAGAAGAUAGGGUAUUUUAAAAUAGUUAUUUGUAAGUGAUAAAAUGUGAAGUUAUUUUAAGUGCGAUAAAAAAAAAGAUGGUUAGAAAUUAUGAUAUAUGUAAACUGCUAAAGAUGAAGUAAAAUGAAAAUCAGAUGGGGGGACUUGGGGAAGCCCACUUAACAAUGUUUAGAAAAAUAAAUAAUUCCUUUUAGAAUUCAUCUUUAGAUGAACUGGUUGCUUGCUGCAUGAGUUUAGCUGCUUAAAGGAAAAAAAGGAACCACGUUUGCUGUGUAAUAAUGUUGCAAGCAAACAACACCUGCAGAGGAUCAAUUUUUAAAAAAACAAAAAAACCCCAAAAGCUUGAAAUAAGUGGGAAGCAUCAGAAUCCCACUAAUGCUUGGUGACUGAUCUUGUUAGCACACAUCGUCUGUCAUCAUAGCAUGGUGACCUAAAACAAGAAUCGCACACUGAAGAACCACCAGCAAGGGAAAAAAUGUGUUAUUAUAACGUGCCUCAGUCAGAGCCGCUACACUCCCCCUCCCCAUCUCUUUGAACGGAACUUGAUUGUCAGCAUUAUACACAAGUCCAGACAAAGCUUUCAAUAGAAGCCUUUUUGGAAGACAAUUAAAGAAAGCAUGAUAACGGGAUUUGUCACCAUGAUGUGGCUGCUAUUUGAGCAGGCAUUAUAAUAAUGAAAGAAAGUUUUACUAAUUGAAAAUGUGAAUCAAAUUCAGCUGUCUCCCUUUCUCUCUCUUCUUUUUUAAUUUCUCUUGGAUGAAAGCCAAUUAAGAUCAUCUGUCUAAUGCAUCUAUUCACCCCUCGCUGCAACAAUGUGUCAAUUGUAAUGGAUGUCUAAUAAACUCAGAGUUUCUAGGACAGAAUGCUGAGUGCAGAAAACAACCAGUGAGAAACAUGGGUGCGCAUACCUGAGAAAUGUUCAGGCAAGAGAAACAUUUGCCCUUAGAAAGGGACUCAGACUGGGUCUCUGCACCACCCCCUCCCCUGUGUGAUGUGCAUGAAUUAGCAGAAUGUGAUUUUCUACCAGACCAUGGCUCUGUUUCAUCACCUCGGUUGCACAGAGCUCAGUGGGCCUUCCCAUUAACUACAGUGGGAGGGAGCAGCUGUUUGUGGGCAUUAAGAGCCGGCAUAGUUGUACAGGUCAAAGUCCUGGACUAGGAGCAGAGUUCAUGCAGUGCACUAGAGAAUAACUCUCAUGAAUACCUCCCCAUGCUGAAAACAUGUAGAGCGGAAGGAUUGCAGAGCCAUUUAGUCUAGUCCCGCCUACCACCACUGCAUGGGUAGCCCACACCAGGACCCUGAUUGGGUAGAUUUUCUAUCCACACACACAGGAUUGGGUAUAGUCUCUACCUGCAUACAUCUGCAUAAGCAGAUAACUAAUUCCACCAUUCGUUGAACAUGCCAAUGUCAGGAGAGACUGGGACUGUUGGCAAUGUGUGGGGCUAGGCUGCAUGGCGCUGCCCUUCCACAUGUAGCUUUCUUUUUUAAAAAAGUAUGUGCAGAAGAGUCAGUGAAGGAGGCUACCAUUUUUAGGGCACCCUAUCAUUUCUUUGGGACGCAGGUGGCAUUGUGGGUUAAACCACAGAGCCUAGGACUUGCCAAUCAGAAGGUUGGCAGUUCGAAUCCCCACGACAGGGUGAGCUCCCGUUGCUCGGUCCCUUCUCCUGCCAACCUAGCAGUCCGAAAGCAUGUCAAAGUGCAAGAAGAUAAAUAGGUACCGCUCUGGCGGGAAGGUAAACGGCGUUGCCGUGCGCUGCUCUAGUUUCACCAGAAGCGGCUUAGUCAUGCUGGCCACAUGACCCGGAAGCUGUACGCCGGCUCCCUCGGCCAAUAAAGCGAGAUGAGCGCUGCAACCCCAGAGUUGGCCACGAUUGGACCUAAAGGUCAGGGGUCCCUUCACCUUUACCUAUCAUUUCUUUAGAAUUUUGUUUGGCUGCAGGGUUCUGAGCUUACUUUAUUGUCGCCUAAGUAUCCAAGAGUGUUGCUUGUGUCUCUUUCCAGUAACCAUGUCUCCAGCUCUCUGCAGCCUCCCUGGCUGCCCACACUUCUUGGUCUGAAAAAAAGAGAGUUAUUUCACAAUGCCUUCGUGAUGGGCACCUGGGAAGGCUGUGGAGUGCAGAGCAUGGGUGAGCCGAUUUGCAAAUGUGAGGUAAUCAUGAAAAAAACACAACCCUGCACCCAACUCAGCUGAAUGUUCUCAGAAUUUGUUCUCCCCUUUGAUAAUUUUCACAUGGCAUUUCUUUUCUUGUUGAUUGAUGAGAAGUGGUCGAGGGGAAAUUGGGCAAGCCCUGAACUACUGAACUACCCAAGUUUCACUGGAGUGUUUACAACCCUCAGGAACUGCCUCCACUCUGCCACAUAUUUACAGCCAAGGUGAUCCUAAAGACGCCUGUUUAACAACCGAAAUAGCAAUACCUGAAGCGUAUGCGAAGUCUAUGCACCCCUUUCUUAUCCGCUGGAGGGGCUUUGAGUACCUCACUGUUCUACUCCUCAGGAAUGUUACAGCCACGUAGCUGGUACCCAGUCAUAAAAAAAGGAGAAAAGCUCACACUGUCAGGUUGGAGCUUUUGAAUAAUUCAUGCCGUGCUUUCAGAACAAUAUACGAAUCACCCCUCAGAGAGCUUUAGUUUUCAAUCGGCCUUCCAGUGACAUGUGGUAAAUUAUAUAGGGUGGCCAGCUGCAAAAGAGAAAACGGGGCUCCUGCAUGUUUUAAUUGUCGGGCAAAAGAAGGAAUCUGCAUGGCAAGUUACACCUGAUUGGAUUCUUCCUUCUACACAGCCAUUAAAAUGGGCAGGAGGCCUGUCUUCUUAUGCAGCUGGUCAGGGGUGAGAAGCCACAAGCCCAGGGGCUAAAUGUAGCCCUUCAGGCAUAUUUAUCUAGCCCUCAAAGCUCUCCUCAGGCCACCACUGGGUUUAGGAUUCAGGGUUGUUCCUCUGCACAGGGCGCUGAGCCGAGGGAGAUCAAAAUUGAGAAAAUCCAUAACUGAGAAGAUUCAUUUGGGGGCACCAAAUUUUGGCCUUGCGCAGGAAGCUAUAUAACAAAAUAUUACCAAAGUCUGCUCUGACCCUGGCCCUGCUCAAGUGCUUAGGAUGUCUGCUUCAACUUUAAUAAUUGCUCUUGCUUUCCAGGGUGGAGGUGUGUGUUUGUGUAUGUAGGAACGGAGAUUUUGCACUGUUGAAAUGUAGUCAGCUCUCAAAUGCACUGCCACAGCAGCUUUUGCAUCUGGCCCCACCCACCACUAUCAAGUGGCCCCCGAAAGCUUGCUCCUGAGACAAUGUGGCCCUUGAGCUGAGUUAGGUUCCCUAUCCCUUUCCUAAGUAAAUAGCACCAGGUUUAACCAAAUGGUAGUACAGUGGUACCUCAGGUUAAGAACUUAAUUCGUUCUGGAGGUACGUUCUUAACCUGAAACUGUUCUUAACCUGAAGCACCACUUCAGCUAAUGGGGCCUCCCGCUGCCGCUGCCGCACCACCACAGUGUGAUUCCUGUUCUCAUCCUGAAGCAAAGUUCUUAACCCGAGGUACUAUUUCUGGGUUAGCGGAGUCUGUAACCUGAAGCGUCUGUAACCCGAUACCACUGUACUGUACAGUAUUCAUAAUAAAACAAUCACUACAUGACAACGAUAGACGCAAGUAGCCCUGUGAUCCUUUCAAGGUCUCUGUCUCUCUCUCUCUCACUCACUCACUCUCUCACACACACCCAAACACCCAAACCAAAGACAAUAGAAUUGGUCCUGUGGUGUCUACAGCAAUAUGUUAGCUGAUUCACUCCUUUGCUCGUUUUCAUCUAUCCAGUUUUCAAAAUAGUUCUCGAAAUUACGAGCAAUAAACAAGCUCAUGAACACAGAACAGAUGGUUUGAUCAUACCUUUGCAGGAAUGUCCAGACUGGUCAUCAGCUCCUUCAUAAUUUCAUGGCAUACCCAUCUGCUUGCACGCUCCACAUGCUGGGAGGGCCUUUCAGUACCCCGUAGGGCUCUCAGGCUCAUAUAUAGCUUUCUACAGCUCGGUGUACUCCCAAAGCAAAUGCCGCAUUCUGCAGGUUGUUGCAGUUUUUCAAAACAUUUGUUUCCAGGCCAAAUCCUGAAUGGUUUAGGUUUCGCCUAUGGAGGAAAAAGCGAUGCACGUACCUGAGCAGGCAACUGGCCUGCUUUCCCACAUAAGAAGAGGCUGCAACUCUCCUCUGAGCAAAGGUUACAACAUAGGGGCCUUCUUACUUUAGAGAAAAGGUGAGUAAGGGAGACAUGAUGGAGCUGAAUAGCAUUAUGCAUGGUGCACAGAAAGUGCAUGAAGGUUUUCUCCCUCUCUCCUAAUAACAGUACUAGGGCCCAGGGCCCUCCGAUGGUGCCAAGUGCUGGAAGAUUCAGAACAGACAAAAGGAAGUACAGAAUUCUUCUCACAGUGCAGUGAAACUGCAAUUCCCUCCUACAGUAGGUGGCUAUCUGUCCUCCUGUGGCAGGUGCGUGUGAGAGAAAGGAGAGAAGGGGACAGAAAAGGGUGAGUACUCUGAGAUGCUUUUCAAAUGAUUAGUAAUUCCAGAGACUUGUGCACAGGGUUCUGUAACUCAUAGGAAGGGUGUGGAUCACUACUGAAGUUAGGGACGUGGGGGGUGCUGUGGUAUAACCACUGAGCCUCUCCCCCCCAUUUUUUAAAAUUCAUUUUAUAACACAAAUAAAAAACACAGAAAGAGAGACCAGAGAGAAGAGACGGUGGAAGAAGACUGGAAGAAGUUUAAGGAAUAUUUGAAAAAAUAAACCUUAGAAUAGCUUUGGAAGUGGAUAUAGGCUGUAGGAUGAGAAGUAGAAGAUAGGGUAUUUUAAAAUAGUAUUAUUUGUAAGUGAUAAAAUGUGAAGUUAUUUUAAGUUUGAUUAAAAAAAAGAGGGUUAGAAAUUAUGAUAUAUGUAAACUGCUAAAGAUGAAGUAAAAUGAAAAUCAGAUAGGUGGGACUUGGGGAAGCUAACUUAACAAUGUUUAGAAAAAUAAAGCUAUGACAAGAAUUUGUUCGUAUUGUUUGUCUUCACCACUGAGCCUCUUGGGCUUCCUGAUCGGCAGGUUGGUGGUUCAAAUCUGCGCAACUGGGUGAGCUCCCAUUGCUCUGCCCCAGCUUCUGCCAACCUUGCAGUUCAAAAGCACACCAGUGCAAGUAGAUAGAUACUACUGUGGCAGGAAGGUAAACGGCGUUUCCGUGUGCUCUGGGUGUCCCAUUGUGCCAGAAGCAGUUUAGUCAUGCUGGCCACAUGACCUGGAAAGCUGUCUGUGGACAAACACCAGCUCCCUCGGCCUGAAAACAAGAUGAUUGCGCACCCCAUAGUCGCCUUUGACUGGACUUAACCAUCUGGGGUCCUUUACCUCCCUGCCCCCCAACUGUGAGAUUAACCUGUUCCACUAACUUCAGAGUCUGAUGGCUUGGAGGGGGUGUUGGAGGACUAACAAAAAUUUAUACAAAAUAGGCUGGAUGCCGAAGCCUUGAGAUCAGUAUUUAGACUCAGUCUAAAUGCUGACUAGGGUAGUCUCUACUAGUUACUUGUAAGUAUCAUGUUUUUGCCCUAGGAUUCUGGGAUGAAGAUGCAGUGUCUGACUGAUAUUUCUGAAAACAUAAAGCUUGAUUGCUACUGACAUAGAUCUGUCUUGUGCCUUAAGUAAAACACACAGGUUCCGGUUAGGCAGAAAGCAAAUGUAACAAGAAGCAUAGCAGGCUGGAGAUUAAUUUUGGGUGGUAUACCAGGUAAUAAAUAUAAAGCAUUGCUAAUAGCUGCAGCUACAGAAGUAGUGUGAUUUUUCUUUUCCUCAUGAGAAAUCCUGACUUCUUAAGGCUAAACUGAAUAUCUUAAACAAGGCACACAUGCGUGAAUACACAAGCACCACACACACACACACACACACACACACACGUGUGCAUGCAUUGCAAAGGUUUUCCACAAUAAUUAAACCUAAUGCCUCUAAUUGCUUCUCACUCUAUUCUUUAAAAACAUAGCCAUUUCCUAGUGAUUCUGAGCAUAUGUUGCAGGAUAUAAACAAAGGCCUCCAUUAGCAUGGUAAUAAAUUGUACGCUCCAUAAAUUUUUGCAUCAUUCAUAAUCUUGGGCAAGGAUUUUUUUUUUUUAAUGUUGACUUUGGAUUGACCUUAAACAUUAAGGUUUAAUGUGUGCAUGUUGGGAUGGUUGGUGGAGUGGGGGGUUAGAACUGUGGUUUUUGGAACUAUUCAUUUCUAUCAGAUCCAUUGGGGGAGGGGAAUGUGAUCCUCUAAAAAAAUUUUUUAAUGGAGUACAGUUGGCCCAUCAAGUUUCAGUUUCAUUUUGCAGCGUAUCACGGGAGAAUAGGCUGUAAAAGUCAAUAUAUUCAGCAACAUGAAUUCAAAACUGUUGUGGCUUGUAAUGGUGUUUCAUUUGUACUGUUAUUGUUGCCACUUUAAAAAGAGAGAGAGAGAGGAAAUAGUAUCAAUUUUUUUUGUUAAAUUCUUUUUUUAAUCCCGUCUUUCUGCUGAGAGCUCAAUGCAAAAUUGUUAUCUCUUCCCCUAAUCUUCCAGACUUUCCCCACCAAGAGAUACUCAGCUAGAGAUUCUGUUGGUGUAUUUAAUAUUGAUCCGGAGCUGCAGCAACAUGAUUUCUUUUGCUGACUAGAUAAAAAUGCAAAGCUGCAAAGGAUACUUGUUAUGACUGACAAGCAAGAGGUGCAUCUGUCGGCAAAACCUAGCCAGAUCCUUGAUGAUACCCCUUGAACAAACAGUGUGACGGUUAUCUCUCUAUAAACACAAUUCAUUAUUGAGUGCACAUUUAGCCUGAUAAGCAGUUAUGUGUAAAAGAAAAAGGGGAGGGAAGCAUUGUACGUGACAACUAAACGCUCUGCGAGACAAUUUACUUCACCAGCACAAGUCAGCAUCAAUAGGGAUAUGUUGAUUGAUAUGCAUCAAAGGGGAACC
rnacentral:lncRNA from 1 species